rnacentral:rRNA from 1 species
UACGAAGGGGGCUAGCGUUGUUCGGAAUUACUGGGCGUAAAGCGUGCGCAGGCGGUUUUGUAAGCCAGAUGUGAAAUCCCCGGGCUUAACCUGGGAAUGGCAUUUGGGACUGCAAGGCUUGAGUGCGGCAGAGGAGACUGGAAUUCCUGGUGUAGCGGUGAAAUGCGCAGAUAUCAGGAGGAACACCGAUGGCGGAAGGCAGGUCUCUGGGCUGUAA